rnacentral:lncRNA from 1 species
ACUCUUGCUACCUUGUGAAGUCAUUUGCUUCUAGUUGUUGGAUUCUAAUUUUUGAAGACUGAAUUUCAUCCCUGGCUUUUUGGUCAUCCUCCUUCUGGUCUGAUUUUUAUUUAUUUUAUGGGGCUACUGGGAAGAAUGAGCUCUUUAGACCUUAAAGAAACCUACAAAUGUACAUUAGUUCCUUACAGAUGUAAGAAACAGAUGGUGGACUCAAGUGGCAUCCCAAGAACCAUACCUUCUCUUCUUCUGAUUGGUAGAUUAUCCAGAUUUUCCCCUUGCCCAUAGGUUUUACAGUUCCUUUGCCUGAAUGACAUUUGGCUGGACGUUUGCACACCUGCAGGGUCUUAUGCUAUAUAAGAAAGGAAGUUACUAUUCCAAGAGAAGGAAAAUGAAAUUCUCAAAAUUCAAUAACAGAAAAAGCCCCACAAUAAAAUGAAUAAAGAACAUCUUCA